rnacentral:rRNA from 1 species
GAUGAACGCUGGCGGCGUGCCUAAUACAUGCAAGUCGAGCGAACGGACGAGAAGCUUGCUUCUCUGAUGUUAGCGGCGGACGGGUGAGUAACACGUGGAUAACCUACCUAUAAGACUGGGAUAACUUCGGGAAACCGUAGCUAAUACCGGAUAAUAUUUUGAACCGCAUGGUUCAAAAGUGAAAGACGGUCUUGCUGUCACUUAUAGAUGGAUCCGCGCUGCAUUAGCUAGUUGGUAAGGUAACGGCUUACCAAGGCAACGAUGCAUAGCCGACCUGAGAGGGUGAUCGGCCACACUGGAACUGAGACACGGUCCAGACUCCUACGGGAGGCAGCAGUAGGGAAUCUUCCGCAAUGGGCGAAAGCCUGACGGAGCAACGCCGCGUGAGUGAUGAAGGUCUUCGGAUCGUAAAACUCUGUUAUUAGGGAAGAACAUAUGUGUAAGUAACUGUGCACAUCUUGGCGGUACCUAAUCAGAAAGCCACGGCUAACUACGUG